rnacentral:lncRNA from 1 species
CAUAUGAAAUUCAUCAAUUCAAAAUCAAUAUCUAUUAUGCAAUAUUAUCAAAACAUAGUUCAUCUCAAAUUCAAUUUCUUUUCAAAAUUCAAAUUUCUUUCAAGAAUUUAAUUUCUUUAAAAAUAUAAAGUUCUUGUUAGUCAUUCUUGUCAACCAUGAGCUAUGACUAUAUUAUCCUUAUGGCAAUGUUAUAAUACCAUAUAUCAUCUUACGAU